AAGGAUCAUUAAUGAGUUCGGGGGCCUAGCCCCCAGCGGUGAGUGUCUGUUCGAGUCCGUCAGGGCUCGGCCAGCGCUCGUCGUGUAUCUCAACCCCAUGUUUACCUUACCUUUGUUGCUUUGGCGGGCCUUGAGUAGGCUAUACGGCUCAUGCCGGCCCUCCGCGUUUUCUGCUGGGGGGCGGCUCGCGCCCGCCGGAGGUUCAAUUAAAUUCUGUUUAUUAGUGAAGUCCGAGUAAAAAUUAAAUAAUCAAAACUUUCAACAACGGAUCUCUUGGUUCUGGCAUCGAUGAAGAACGCAGCGAAAUGCGAUAAGUAAUGUGAAUUGCAGAAUUCAGUGAAUCAUCGAAUCUUUGAACGCACAUUGCGCCCCUUGGUAUUCCGGGGGGCAUGCCUGUUCGAGCGUCAUUACACCCCUCAAGCGUAGCUUGGUAUUGGACGUUCGCGGGCCCUCUUUGGGGGGCCUGCGCGUCCGAAAAACAGUGGCGGUCCCCGGGGAUUUCGCGCGUAGUAAAUAUUCUCCCGCGUUGGAAAGAACCGAUGGGCCCUGCCAAAACCCCCCAUAAAUCUCCAUGAUUGACCUCGGAUCAGGUAGGGAUACCCGCUGAACUUAA
rnacentral:rRNA from 1 species